rnacentral:rRNA from 1 species
UACGUAGGGUGCAAGCGUUGUCCGGAAUUAUUGGGCGUAAAGAGCUCGUAGGCGGCUUGUCGCGUCGGCUGUGAAAACCCGUGGCUCAACUGCGGGCUUGCGGUCGAUACGGGCGGGCUAGAGUUCGGUAGGGGAGACUGGAAUUCCUGGUGUAGCGGUGAAAUGCGCAGAUAUCAGGAGGAACACCGGUGGCGAAGGCGGGUCUCUGGGCCGAUACUGACGCUGAGGAGCGAAAGCGUGGGGAGCAAAAGGG